ACGCUAUCACUCCUACGGGAGGCAGCAGUGGGGAAUAUUGCACAAGUGGGGAAACCCUGAUGCAGCCAUGCCGCGUGUGUGAAGAAGGCCUUCGGGUUGUAAAGCACUUUCAGUAGGGAGGAAGGUAGUGUAGUUAACACCUGCACUAUUUGACGUUACCUACAGAAGAAGCACCGGCUAACUCCGUGCCAGCAGCCGCGGUAAUACGGAGGGUGCAAGCGUUAUCCGGAAUCAUUGGGUUUAAAGGGUCCGCAGGCGGUCAAUUAAGUCAGAGGUGAAAUCCUAUAGCUUAACUAUAGAACUGCCUUUGAUACUGGUUGACUUGAGUUAUACGGAAGUAGGUAGAAUGUGUAGUGUAGCGGUGAAAUGCAUAGAUAUUACACAGAAUACCGAUUGCGAAGGCAGCCUACUACGUAUAUACUGACGCUCAUGGACAGAAAGCGUGGGGAGCGAACAGGAUUAGAUACCCUGGUAG
rnacentral:rRNA from 1 species